CUUUUCCAGCUGUGGACUACAUGAUCUUGAAAGCACAACUUGAAACUGAGAUCAGAUGAACCCUCUGGACCUGGCCAGAGGACAAGUUUCCUUUUGCUGGAUCCAGUAAUUCUCUCACCUCUGUGGAAAUCCUGCUUUUCAAUGUGCAUGCUUGCUGUCAAGGUAUACAAGGAGCAUAAAGAAGGUAUAAAAGGACUAUGAAAGAAGACUAGCUCAGGCAUCUGCAUUUCAUGAGCUGAAAAAAAGAUUUCCUAGGAUUUGAUUUUGCAAUGAAAACCUCAAUUUGAUAUUGAAAAUUCUGCGACCUUUAUUCACACAAACACCUCUUCACAGUGAAUGGAAC
rnacentral:lncRNA from 1 species